AGAGUUUGAUCAUGGCUCAGGAUGAACGCUGGCGGCGUGCCUAAUACAUGCAAGUCGAACGCUUUGUGGUUCAACUGAUUUGAAGAGCUUGCUCAGAUAUGACGAUGGACAUUGCAAAGAGUGGCGAACGGGUGAGUAACACGUGGGAAACCUACCUCUUAGCAGGGGAUAACAUUUGGAAACAGAUGCUAAUACCGUAUAACAAUAGCAACCGCAUGGUUGCUACUUAAAAGAUGGUUCUGCUAUCACUAAGAGAUGGUCCCGCGGUGCAUUAGUUAGUUGGUGAGGUAAUGGCUCACCAAGACGAUGAUGCAUAGCCGAGUUGAGAGACUGAUCGGCCACAAUGGGACUGAGACACGGCCCAUACUCCUACGGGAGGCAGCAGUAGGGAAUCUUCCACAAUGGGCGAAAGCCUGAUGGAGCAACGCCGCGUGUGUGAUGAAGGGUUUCGGCUCGUAAAACACUGUCGUAAGAGAAGAAUGACAUUGAGAGUAACUGUUCAAUGUGUGACGGUAUCUUACCAGAAAGGAACGGCUAAAUACGUGCCAGCAGCCGCGGUAAUACGUAUGUUCCAAGCGUUAUCCGGAUUUAUUGGGCGUAAAGCGAGCGCAGACGGUUAUUUAAGUCUGAAGUGAAAGCCCUCAGCUCAACUGAGGAAUUGCUUUGGAAACUGGAUGACUUGAGUGCAGUAGAGGAAAGUGGAACUCCAUGUGUAGCGGUGAAAUGCGUAGAUAUAUGGAAGAACACCAGUGGCGAAGGCGGCUUUCUGGACUGUAACUGACGUUGAGGCUCGAAAGUGUGGGUAGCAAACAGGAUUAGAUACCCUGGUAGUCCACACCGUAAACGAUGAGUGCUAGGUGUUUGAGGGUUUCCGCCCUUAAGUGCCGCAGCU
rnacentral:rRNA from 1 species